rfam:Oryza nivara chromosome 2, whole genome shotgun sequence.
AAAAAAUCAAAUCGUGAGUUCCCGUGCCAACGUUUGACUUUUCAUCUUAUAUAAAAUUUUUUUAUAAUUAAUAUUUUUAUUGUUGUUAGAUGAUAAAACAUGAUUAAUACUUUAUGCGCGACUUAUCUUUUUAAUUAUUUUUAUAAUUUUUUUAAAUAAGACGGACGGUCAAACGUUGGACACGGAAACCAGCAUUUAUC